rnacentral:rRNA from 1 species
GACAGAGGGUGCAAACGUUGUUCGGAAUUACUGGGCGUAAAGCGCGUGUAGGCUGCUCUGUGUGUCGGAUGUGAAAUCCCCGGGCUCAACCUGGGAAUUGCAUUCGAUACUGGAUAGCUAGAGUUCGGCAGAGGGAAGCGGAAUUUCCGGUGUAGCGGUGAAAUGCGUAGAUAUCGGAAGGAACAUCAGUGGCGAAAGCGGCUUCCUGGACCAGAACUGACGAUCAGGCACGAAAGCGUGGGGAGCAAACAGG